GACGAACGCUGGCGGCGUGCUUAACACAUGCAAGUCGAACGGAAAGGCCUGCUUUCCCUUGUGGAUUGCGGGUACUCGAGUGGCGAACGGGUGAGUAACACGUGAGUGAUCUGCCCCCAACUUGGGUAUAAGCCUGGGAAACUGGGUCUAAUUCCCGAUAGGACUGCAGGGUGGUGCCUGUGGUGGAAAACGAUUUUCUAGUGGUUGGGGAUGAGCUCGCGGCCUAUCAGCUUGUUGGUGGGGUAAUGGCCUACCAAGGCGGCGACGGGUAGCCGGCCUGGGAGGGUGGACGGCGACAUUGGGACUGAGAUACGGCCCAGACUCCUACGGGAGGCAGCAGUGGGGAAUAUUGCACCAUGGGCGGAAGCCUGAUGCAGCGACGCCGCGUGGGGGAUGACGGCCUUCGGGUUGUAAACUCCUUUCGACCGCGAGGAAGCCACCUGGUUGGAAGGGUGGUGACGGUAGUGGUAGAAGAAGCACCGGCUAACUACGUG
rnacentral:rRNA from 1 species